rnacentral:rRNA from 1 species
UUGAAAACUCCGGUGGAUAGAGAUGGGCACGCGCAAGAUUAGAUAGUUGGUGAGGUAACGGCUCACCAAGUCUGUGAUCUUUAGGGGGCCUGAGAGGGUGAUCCCCCACACUGGUACUGAGACACGGACCAGACUCCUACGGGAGGCAGCAG